UGCAUCGGCCGGGAAUCGAACCCGGGCCGUCCGCGUGGCAGGCGAGAAUUCUACCACUGAACCACCGAUGC
rnacentral:tRNA from 1 species